UGUUCUGGUGGAUAAAAAUAUGGUAUUGCCUCUAUAAAGAAAGGGGAGGGUUGGAAAUCUCAUAAGAAAAUGUCAUUUUCAUUUGAGAUGUGCUGAGUUGCAGGGAAACCAUCAAUUUGUGGAAGAAACUCAAGAUUGUCUACUUCAACAUCCAUCCAAUCUCCAUUCCAGCUAGUCCUAUAUUAUAGGCACUAUAAAGCUAACCUAACUAACCUGUUUCUCUUAAUCUCCUCAGCAGAUAGGUUGUAAGCAUGUGACCUAGAUCCCACCUUAGUUGCAACUUGAGAUUUAAUGGUAGAAUUGAGCACACAGGCUUGUGGAAGAGGUCAUAUUUGAGCUAGGAUCAGUAAUUAUGUGCCGAGAAUAAUGCAGUGGUAGGAAAUCGGCUACUCAAAGAGGAAAAUGUGUUGGUCAAAUGUGUGGGGAUUGUAUUAAGGAGAUACUCUGAAAAACAUGAAAGGGUUGGUUUUGUGGGCGGUUCAGUUUGAAGGGCAUAAAACUGUAAGGGCUGUAUCAAUUCAGUUUUGUAUGUUUCUUCACUGGGAGCCAGAGCAUAUGUGGCAAGAGCAACAUAAGUAUUUGUUUUGACUUUGUUAUUACUUUUAAUCGUAUGGCUUCGAGCAAGUUGCUUAUAGCCUCUAAAUUUCAUCUUCCUCGUCUAAAGAUGAAGAUCAUCUUUCAUAUCAAAGACAGUUUUUGCCCGAAUUGAAGCACCCUCCAUAGUGAAUAUUUAAAUACCUUUUAGAGUGAUCAUUAUAUAUUUAGAACGAUAUAUAUUUUUAAUAUUUUAUUUAUUUGUUUGUUGUUUAGAAAGCACAUGCACACAGAGUGGGGGAGGGGCAGAGAGAGUGACAAAACCUUAAGCAUGCUUCAUGCUCAGCACAGAGCCGGACAUGGGGCUCGAUCCCAUGACCUGGGAUCAUGACCUGAGCCAAAAUCAAGAGUCGGCUGCUCAAUUGACUGAGCCACCCAGGCGCCCCUAGAGCGGCCAUUCUAAACUACAUUCAUUCCAACAUAAGUGAUGCAAAUUAUUCCACAUUACUGAUUGAAAAUUUGUUAUUGUUUCCUAUACUUAAAACAGUAGUUCCAGGUCCUUCUCACAUGGAGUCUUUUUCACAUCGAAACACGUUGUAGAUGCCCAUGUGAGAGCUAUACCCUUAGUGCCUGUUAAGUGAGAAAUAACACAAACCAAAAGCUACUUCAAAUUUAGCAACAAUUUUAAGUUUAUUUUGUUAUUAAUAAAUAUAGCACAGAUAUAUAUUGGCCAAUGAUAUGUAUUCAGAAAUAUAAGACAUAUCCCAUCAAAGUCAAUGAAUAGUGGAUUCUUGGACUCCUUGUAGUAACUAUUUUCUACCAGUCAAGAACCACUGCCUUAAAGAUGACAUUUAAAUUAAUUAGUAAGCUAUACAAGAUAGUUUAAACUCUUUUUAAAACAAUUUUUUAAUGUUAAUUUAUUUAUUUUUGAAAGAGAGAGAGAGAGCAAGCAGGGGAAGGGCAGAGAGAGAGGGAGACAGAAUCCCAAGCAGGAUCCCUACCAGUCAGCACAGAGCCCGAUGAGGGCUCAAACUCAUGAGGCCGUGACAUCAUGACCUGAGCUGAAACCAAGAGUUGGACACUUAACCGACUGAGCCACCCGGGUGCCCCUCUUUUUUUUUUUUUUUUAAUGUUUAUUUAUAUUUGAGAGAGAGAGCAAGAGUGGGGGAAGGGCGGAGAGAGAGGGAGACACAGAAUCUGAAGGAGGCUCCAGACUCUGAGCUAUCAGCACAGAACUCAUGAACCACGAGAUCAUGACCUGAACUGAAGUCGGACGCUCAACUGACUGAGCCACUCAGGCGCCCCAGGAUACUUUAAACUCUUAAAACCAAGGUUUCCAGUCUCAUCUCCAGUCACUUUGCUCUCCUUGUCCUCUUCUCAUACCAUGUUGGCCACAAAAACUAAUCCUUUUCCUCCUCGUUCCUCACUCAUCACUUUUUCAGGAAUGCCCUCCCAUCCUUUCCUUUGCCUGAAACACCCUCACCUUGUCCCUUAAGACCCGAUAAAAAUGUCAGGAGAAAUUUUUUAGAUUCCUCUUAGUGGUAUUUGUUCUUUGAUGCAACUCAUAACACUUCAUACAUCAUCUUUAGCGAAGCAGUUAUUAUGUUAUACUGGGAUGAUUUUUACAUUUAUCUUUUUCACCAGAUUCUGGCCUCCCAGGUGGCAGAACCUGGGUCUUAUUCAUCUUUGUAUCCUGGGUUCCCAGAAUAGUGCCUGGAACAUAGUAAGUGCUAUGAUAUGUUGUAGAGGUUGGUGGAUUCACAAUGGCUAUUAGAGUAUCUUUGGCAACCUUAGAGCAGAAUCCUGAAAGAAGAAGAAAAGCAAAAUAGUCCAGCCCUAAGUGUCCUGCUCUUUCCCUGUAAUAACCACUCUAUAUAGGAACAAAUAAUGAUCAAUCUCAUAUGUAGCCAUGAAUUUGAAGAAAGUUACAGCUGGAAAAAACUGCAGCUGCCAUCCACUAUGAGUUCUUCACAUUACAGACUAGGAAACAGUCAGCAUUGAGCCCUUCCUUUUUCAGAUUCAGCAAUACACUUCUCAGCUUUCUCCAUAUUCUGGUUCCUGAUUCAUUUUCUUUCAAUCCUGACUUGUCUAUAUUCCUCCUAAAUUGUUGGAAUAAGUUGCUCAUUUACAGAAGGUGUAAAAUUUGUUUUUGUCCCUAGUAUAUGAAUGGCUGCAAUCCAUAGGUAAUUUAUAUUUUUCAGUGAUUUAGAAGUUUUAAUCUUCUUCCUGGCCAAGUUCUUCACCGGGCAAUAUCUAAGGAGGGACAGAAUUGGCAGAUGCAAAUUCAAACUUCAUUUACUUCUCUUGCCCAGACUCUGCGGGAAGUGAAUGGGCAGCAAAGUGCCAAAGGCAAGCGGCCAAAAGAAGAGUUGCAACCUGGACAUUCAACCUCUGGACAAAUGCAAAUCCACAGGGACCACUCUCAUUUCAGAGAUUAUAACCUACCUGGUUUUUGUAACUUCUAGGUGUUGAGCCUCAAAUGCCAGGUGUCAAAUAGGAGAUGGGUAACUUUGUGGCAUCAUGGAUGUGUUUGUGUGAGGGAAUGAUCUGUAUGGAACCGUGAAGUAAGUAGCUUGAAGGAGAACAUGGAGAAAAUUUGUCUUGGGCAAGAUGCUGAGUGCUUCAAUAACAAGGAAAAAAUUAAACUUUCUUUUUUUUUAAGUUCAUUUAUUUAUUUUGAAAGAGAUAGAGACAGUGUAAGUAGGAGAGGGGCAGAGAGAGAGGGAGAGAGAGAGAAUCCCUCUGCCAUCUCAGAACCCGAUGCAGGGCUCGAACUCAUGAGGCCAUGAGAUCAUGACCUGAGCUAAAACCAAGAGUCAGACGCUUAACCGACUUGAGCCACCCAAGCGCCCCGUAAACUUUCUUCUGUUGCAUCCAACUGACUGCAUGGUCACUUUGAGAACAAUCAAAGUAGUUAUUCUUGAAGAAGUGUGUAGAAGAAAAUUUAACAAAAGGAAGUUACAAUCUAGGACUUCUGAAGAGCCACUCAAGAUGUAAAAUAGAUUAAUAGAUCAAUAGAUUUCCCUCUCUAUGGAGGGAAAGCCCGGGCGUCACUCUGAACUUAAAUGAGGUAUUACUGUUAGCCAUCAAAAAUGAAAAUCCUCCUGUAUCUAGUAGCCUGUGGGUGCGCAAGCAUCCUUAUGAAUCUGUAUUCCAUCUUUUGCCAAGUAAACUCAUCUAUUUAUACUUUAUACAGAUUCCUAACUCUAGGGAUAGAAAUUGUCAGGCUCCCAAAUUCAAGUCUAGAGAAGUUAGAAUCCUCGUUGUUUACAAAGCUUGUCCAUCAAGUGAAGCUGGUGUUAAUUAACUCUGGCAUCCCUCAAUUCAUUUUGCGUAUUCAAAGGUGGAUAUGAAGGCUGAGUCUGAAAUAACAAAUGCACAGACAGCACCAUUAAGGAGAAUGCAGGCAUCACAUAUUUUUCCUUGUCUUGCUUCUGUUACCAAUCAAACUUGCAGACGUGAGACUAGAGCUUUUCUGACAAUAGUCCCACAAAAAGAUGCUGUUCAUUUGUUUUGGCAGUGGGUAGUACUAUUCUAAGAAGUCAGCUGUGUGUGGCAGAGCCCAGCAUUAUAGCUCAAAAUCUGUACUUUCUUAGCACUUGCAGGGCAUUGGGUUGAUGCAUUCAGAAGGAAAUGGAACAGGUAGGAGGGCACAUUGGGAAACAGCAGUUAAUAUGCUAUGACUUGUGGGGCACCUGGGUGGCUCAGUUGUUUGGACAUCCAACUUUGGCUCCGGUCAUGAUCUCAUGGUCUGUGAGUUCGAGUCCCGCAUCAGGCUCUGUGCUGACAGCUCAGAGCCUGGAGCCUGCUUCAGAUUCUGUGUUCCCCCUCUCUCUCUGCCCCUCCCUGAUUCGUGCUCUAUCUCACUCUGUCUCUCAAAAAUAAAUGGUAAAAAAAUUUUUUUAAUGUUAUGACUUGUAAAAUCCCCUGUGUAUAGUACAGUGUUUUCAGUUAUUAAAUGAAUAUAAUUUAAAGAGCAAUUUGCUUGUCAUCAUUGGUACUGUUAUAUAUUCCUACCAUAUUGGUCAGUUUUGAUUUUUUGUAGACAGUUUUCAACCUGUGCAAAUCAAUAGUGGUUCAUGGGGAUGUGAAUCUAAAACAUGGGUAUAUAAAUCUAAAAUAAGAGGUACAUUUUUUUUUUAGAAAUUUUAGUGAUCAUAUUCCAAGUUACAUUAAGUUCUGCAAAUACCCUAUAUAAAUAGAAUAUUCUGGACAUACAGCAAGCCAGCAAUGCACUAUCUGAGAAUUAGGUCCUCUUUUUUCACCAGAUACAUUUCUGGACGACACAACUGUGAGCUCACUUAGAGGGGAUUCUGGGGCCCACAGGCAAAAUGCCCAUGUAUACACCUCAGGAGCAGACUGACCUACUAAGACAAGAAUGGCUUUGUCUGGGCUCACAUGACAAAAAAAUUCACACAGAGUCUAAUGAUAGACAUACCUUUUCCCUUUUGAUUACUGCCAGGAUGCCCACUGUAAACUGACUGUGGGCUGACUGCUAAGCAGAGUUGGGGGUAAGAAGGAAAGGAGAAGAUAACAAAGCAAUUUUUCCUUUUUUUGCCCACAGUACACAAUGUGUGUUUUUUUACUCCAUAAAUCACCAGGCAAAUAUCCAGCUAUCUUUAUGUACACUCUAAUCAACUUCUUUGUCACUGCUGCUAGAAAAAAAUACUACUAGCUUCCAGAACCAUAGCUAUAUAUCACAUGUUAUGGUCUUGCAUAUAUGCUGGAGUCUAGCGAGUUUAAUUCGUUCCAUGGUGUCUAUGUAAGUACAUGGUUGUAUCUGCAUCUUAUCUUAAAAUAGAGAUUUGGGUUUGAAAUUGAGAUUCUUUUUUUUUUUUUUUUUUUUUUUUACUUCUUCCUUCUCAGAUUAUUCCCUUUUUUCCUACUCUGCUUUAGACCAGACACUCCUAAAAGAGUCUGUACCUUGAACAGACUGGGCAUUGUUGGGAAUCCAUGCUGCAGUUCCAUAGAAAUCAAGUCCAUGAGUCAGAAAGCAAACACCAGGCCUGUUGUAUUGAUUCUAUGAGGUGGGUUACUAAUGUAACACCUGACAUGUAUGAGCUGGCCAAGAGCUGCUCCCCGAAGAGUUGCUGGGCAGAAUGCUGUGAGGGUUGGAACUAAUUGGAAGUAUAACCCAUGACUGUUUGGGGAAAGUGAAGUCGUGCCAUUUCAGAGCCAGGCCUUUCCCUUCUGUUUCUCAGUAGGGAUGCUGUUUCCUUAAUAGUGCCCCUGGCUUUAUUGCAGUCAGUGGAAGACAGGAGGCCAUUUGCUUCCUGCACAUCAAUCACUGUGGGCCUGAGAUCUCAGGAUAUGUUCAUCAGAAGGCAGGCUGCACGAGCCUUACUCCUAAAAUCUUGGAGAGCACUCAAACAAGUCAGCUAACUGCAAGAGUCCAAUUAAUCAGAUUCUAUAGUGGAAAGAGGUGUGAAGAAAAACCAAAAUGUCUUCAAACGAUUAAGCAAAACAGACUGCUUAUCUGUUGUUGUCUAUGACAUCAUGGGCUUGCUCUAAGCCAAAGGUCAGCAAACUAUAGCCUCCAGCCUGAUUUUGGAUAGCCCACAGACAAAAAAUGAUUUUUACCUUUUUUAAGGGUUGCUAAAAAAAAAAAAAAAGUAAAAGCAGAGACUAUGGGAUAGAGACUGUAUGUAGCCAAUGAAACCUGAAAUAUUUACUAUCUGGCCUUCUACGGAAAAAAUUUCUAAGCCACGAGGGUGUGACAAUGAGAACUUUUGCAUUUCUAGCUUCCACACCCCCUCUGUUGCCUUUAGAGUCCAUCUAUAUUGUCAGUCGCCCCAAGGGAGGGCUUUGGCUGACUUAAGGGACCCUACGAGAACCAUGCAGUGUUGAGAUUCCUGCACCACUUUCCAGUGAGCAUUACUAUAUAUAGUCCAAGGCUGCCCAUGCUGGUGCUAAGUAAGUAAUUCAGUGGGGAACCACAGGCUUACAAAAAUUUAGAUUGAACAUGGAUCACAACAGUACAGUCUAACUUCCCGGCCCAUGACAGGGCUUCCAGAGCAGCCCAGCUUCUCGGGGAGCACACGUGUUUAUCAGAUAUUUGAGCCAUUUGAUACUUGGGUGUUUGUCUUCUAAUACCCUUCUUUAAGAGCUGGCCCGCCUCCAGCGGUUUGGGAAGAUAAAGUUCUAAAUUGAUUCCUAAAGUUUCUGGUUAGAUAGAGACUCCCUUUCAGUCCAGGUUCUUCCUCUUUGUUCUUUGAUCUGAAUCCCAGGAGAGUCGUGAGUGUCUCUCCUGUGGCAGCUUUGUCUGAAUAUUGCGGAGAGGUCUGGUGACAUGCCUGUAGGGUGAUUAUCAGAAGUGGGGGUGGGAAGGGGAAACAUCCUUCACCUUGCUUUCUCUUGGGGCCAAACAUUCUCUUCUUGAAGGAACAUGAAUCCCAGGACCACUGUGUUCCCGAGGCUAGGUAUCCCUCACAUAAACAGACUGAGUUAAAAACCCAGGAUUCCAACCAGCUUCAGGAUCAGCAUCCUUAUGACUCUCAUUUCCCCCCAGUUCUCUUUCAUGCUGCCCUAGUUCAGACCUUCAUCAUCUCUCACUAAAGACCAGAGUAGUGGCCUCAUCACUGGUGACUCAAAUCCAAAGGCCAACUCAGGCUACUCUGCACCCUGCUUCCAGGGAGCUGAAAACCUGGCUGUGUCACCAAAGGUUGGAACCUUUAUGUUGGUUCCCAUUGCCUACAGAAUAAAAGUUCAACUCUAUGAAGGCAUUUCAAGAUCUAUGUACUUUCUUACCUCAUCUCCCAUUUGCACCUGUCCUUUACCAAUGGUCACGGACAUGUAGUUCCUUAGCAGAUGGCUUCACACACCUAUGCCUUUACUCAUGCUGGCUCCACCACCUGAAAUGCCCUCCCUGCUCUUCCCCCCGUUUGCUUCACAAUCUAAUCAUCUUUCAACUUGGAUGUCAGGAGUCACCUUCAGGAUUGAAUUGCGUCCCCACCAAAAGCUGUUGAAGCCCUAAUCCCUGGCACCUGUGAAUGUGACUCUAUUUGGAAAUAGUGUUUUUGUAACCAAUCAAGUUAAGAUGGAGUCAAUAGGGUAGGCCCAAUCCAAAAGCACUGGUAUCCUUCUAAAAAGAGUAAAUCUGGACACAGAUACACUUGCAUAGAGGGAAGAUGAUGUGAAGAUACUAGGAGAAUGCCAUCCCCAAGCCAAGGAAUGAUUGAGGCUAUCAGAAGCAAAGAGAGAGGCCUGAAACCAGUUCUCUUUCACAGACCUCAGAAGGAACCCACACUGCCAAGAUCUUGAUCUUGGACUUCCAGCCUCUAGAACUCUGAGACGAUACAUUUCUGUUGAUUAAGCCACACAGUGUGUAGUACUUUAAGGUAGCCCUAGCAAGCAAAUACACAUCAUUUUUACUGUAGAAGCUUUCUUGAUUCACGUAAAGUCAAAAUGGACUUUUGUGUGCCCCAGCCUUAUUCUAGAUAUAUCCCAGCAGCCAUACACAAUAAAGCAGUGCUUUCAAAUUAUAAUGUGCAUGUGAAUCACCUGGUAAUCUUGUUAAAAGGCAGAUUCUGAUUCAGUAAGCCUAGGCUGGGCCCUGGGAUGCUGAAUUUCUAACAAGCUCCCAGGUGAUACUGAUACUGCUGAUGCUGCUGGUCCACAGGCCGGUCCACAGGCCACACUCUGGGUGCCAGGGCUUUAGGACACUUACUUACGUGUCUGUCCAUGAUGCUGUACCAUGUGUGAGGGCAAGAUCUGUGUCUUUGAAUACCUAGUACUUGAUGCAGUGCUGGGAAUAUGACAGGCAUAUAAUAAAUGUUAGUUAAAUUGUUGAUGAAUGAAUGAAUCAUUAGAAUCAUGACUUGGUAUUGAGGGAUUCAUGGUCAUUCCCAAGAUAUGUUGGACAAUAACUGCACUGCCAAAUGUCUCAGCUUUCCCAUCCUUCACCAUUUUUACUCCUUUGAAGCUCAGAGAGAAAAGAAGCUCCUAUCACACGUGAGGAAACACAUUCUGGAAGGCUGCAGUGAUAGCAGGGAGAUGUACUGCUAAUUUUUCAACUGUAAGUCAACUCUUUAACACCAUUGAGCAAAAGCCAUCCCUUUCCUGCAUCUAUUCUUCACUUCUACUCUUUGUGCAACUGGCCAGAAGCUGGUCCCUGAGAGCCAGAGGACAGGCAAGUAAUGUACAUGACUAAGCUCUUCGUAGGAAUCUGGCACUGUGCACUUAAAACGGCUCGCGGAAGUAGGUAUUAUUAGCCCUAUUUACAGAUAAAAAAUUGAAGCUGAAGAAGUAGUUUGUCCAAAAUUAUCCAACUAGUAGGUGACAGAACCAGGGGCCAAACAGAUUUAACUUCAAAAUCUGUGUCUUUUCUAUGGCAUUGUGAAAGAGACAGCUGAUGUUCUAACUAGCUACACGCUUGUGAUAUCUGCUGCCUCUCUCCUGCCAGUAGAGGAUUGAAAGUAGUAGCUAUUGCUCUGUAUCUUAGAGAUGAUUACUCAACUGUUUUCUAGGGUAUUCCAAUUCUGGUAGUCACAGAGAUGCCUCGUUUUUCUGGCAUCUUCGAGAACAUGAUGUUUCUUCCUUUAAGUGGGUCUUUCCUCUCAAUUUAAAGAAUUGUUUUUAACAAUUUUGGAUAGAGUAAUUCUGACAUACAGUACACUAAUUUUGCCUUCGUAAAUAAGGUAUAUCUUUUCUUAAUGCCUCAGGGCCAUUAUUAAGGAUUGUCAUUCCAAAUGUUCUGCUGAAAUUGAGGCAUAUUGUCAGAUAUUACUGAAAAUAUUGAACUAUUUGCCUUACAAUAAGUGGUCAGACUCAAUAUAUGUUUUAAAGAUUUUACUUUUAAGUAAUCUCUACACCCAACAUGGGGUUCGAAGUCACAACAAGACCAAGAGCUGCAUGUUCUAUCAACUGAGCCAGCCAGGUGCCCCGGACUAUUUUUUGAGGCAAUAUUUCUUGUACUUUUUUUUUCUAUUCCUCCCUUACUCUAAAGACUAUCGGGUAUUCCUUUAUGCUGAUGGCAGUGAAUCUGCUUCUAACAUCUCAUUUCUCAUUUGUUAAUUCAAUUCUCAAGGGUGAGAAGAAUUGAUAUGCAACCUUCUUAGAAAUAUAUGCAAAGUAAAAGUGAGGAGGAUAUGAAUUGAACAUCUAACAGGUUUCCUUCUGAGUUAGCAUAAGAGUUUCAUUACCUUUAAACAGAGGCAGAACUUUUUGUUCUCCCAGAGGUUUCUGUUAAUUCUCUGGUUCUGAACAUUAUACUUUCAAGUUAAGGUCAUUUAAAAAAUAAUAUCUAUCAAGGUGCAAUGGUGCUGUACAAUAUAUUAGCUUUAGAUUCCCUCUUGCCUAUAAAACAGCUAAUAACAGUAAAACAUCUCUAAUCUGGAACAACCCAAAAGGAGAAGACAUCCUGAGUUAUUUUUUUAAGAUCUCAUUUAAUGUAUUUUUAAAAAAAUUAUGUGGAUCUCUUGCUUUCAAAAUCAGAAAGUGACUCACAUUAGCUGCUAAGAAAAUGCUGGAUGAAUUCUAUUGGUUAGACAACAAUACUCAUUUGGUUUUAAACAGUUAUGUCCAAACACUUUUUGUCUUAAGUAAUUUAGACUUAAUGCUAUAAUUUUUCACUGUAUUAGUUCCCUGUAAAACAUUUCUAAGUAGUAGAAAAAUAAACUCUAGUCUCAACCAGGUUGGAUUAUUGCAAAUUCCCGAUUAAUAAGGUCUAACUUUAUUACAUAUUUUUUGUUUUUCUUUCUUAUUUCUUUCUUCCUUCUUUCUUUCCUUUUUCUUCCUUUCUUUCUUUCUCUUUCUUUCUCUCUUUCUUUCUCUCUCUUUCUUUCUUUCUUUCUUUCUUUCUUUCUUUCUUUCUUUCUUUCUUUCUUAAUUGCUGAAGCAUCAUCUCAGCGACCUUUUGACAUUUCACAAUUAAGGCUUUCGUGUACUUUUGGGAAGCAAUUUUAAAACUGAAAGGCAAUUUUAUUUAUACCUACUUAUCAAAGUAUAUGCUACAGCUUCUCAUUUUGAAAAAUGAGAAGAGCCAAAAGGAGAACAAGCAAAGGUGAAGAGGAGAAGAGAGGUAAUUGGUCCAAAUUAAAUGUGAUAUAUAUGAAGCAGGUUGGGGGCUAGAGGCCAGGCCCUGCUCUGAUUCAUUGGAAUGUUUGGAUGGGUAAUGAAUGGAAAGCACGGUCCCUGGAGGCAGCCUGUUCCUUCUAGUUACUUACAGACCAGUGACCCGUAGGUUCAUCUGAAAAAUCAGCAUUUGAAAAGUCAAUGUGAUUUAUCUAAGAAGAAACGAAUACCAGCAAAUUAGGUCUUUUAAACAUACAAACAAACCUUAAGGGUUGUUUUUUAGCCUGGGUUUUUUUCAUUGCAAAUAGCUUUGAAAAAAGAGAGGCACUACAAACCAUGCACCAAGUUUCAGUGGUAACAGGAUUUCCUGGUUUAACAGAAGCUUUCCCUAACAAAAUAAUUGUUGUCUAGAGGAAAAAAGGAAAUUAUGCUUUAAGUGUCUCUUUUCUUUUUUUUUUUUCUUUUGCCAUAAAAGCACAGGGAUUUUUUUUUAUUGUUUUAACAAGUUUUCAUGAUGAAUGAAAUGGGCUAACAUAUUGGAGGUUAAAGCUAAACACAUGAGGCGAAACAUGCAGUUUUAAGAAAUUUAGUUUACCAGCCAGAACCACAUUGAUUGGGCAAAAAGCCUUCAUAAAAUAAUUAUGAAUAUAAAUAGUUAACUUUGGUUUCUGUUGAUCAUAUAUAAAAGGGCCAUUUUGGGAGCAGUAAUAGCACUAUCAAAAAAAAAAGAAUAAAAGGAAUAAAGAAAGGACUUUAUUUUAAUGUUUAUUUUUGAGAGGGAGCGCCAGUGGGAGAGGGGCAGAGAAAGAGGGGGAUAGAGGAUCCAAAGAGGCUCCCCACUGAUAGCAGUGAGCCUGAUGCCAAACUUGAACUCAUGACUAUGAGAUCAUGACCUGAGCCUAAGUCCGACACUCAACUGACUGAGCCACCCAGGCGCCCCAAGAAAGGACAUUUUUGUAAGAUGUAUAUUCACACAAUCUAAACACAUUCUGAAACAAAUAUAACCACUUAGGUGCCAAUUAAAUACUAGACUUCAGGGGUUUUUUUUAAUUUUUUAGGUUUAUCUAUUUAUUUUAAGAGGGUGAGAAAGAGAGCAUGAGUAGGGGAGGGGCAGAGAGAGAAGGAGAGAAUCCCAAGCAGGCUCUGCACUGUCAGUGCAGAGCCUGAUGUGGGGUUUGCACUCACAAACCAGAAGAUAAUGACCUGUGCUGAAACCAAGAGUCGGUCGGUCACUCAACCAAAUGAGCUACCUAUGUGCCCCAACUUAAGUUGUUUUUAACCACUGUUUUACCAACUGUAUUUUUUCUUGUUUUGAUUUAGAAAAAAAGGCUAUUACCAUAUAGUGCUUCAAAGAGUAGGAAAGUCUCUGUCCAUAAUCUUUAAGCUUUCUGCUCAAACAUGUCAAAAGGCUUUAACUAUCAAUUUGUCCCUCGGUCAGUGAGAUGGUCUUCUUUUCAUGCUCCAAAAGCAUCUUGACUGCUCCCUGACUGGGAGAGAAAAUGUAAAUUGUAUCUGUCCAUACUUACAAUUCCUGCAUCUUUCUUUUCCAAGUUGGAUGUGUGUAAAUCAGAAACUAAGAGAAAAAAAGAGGAAGAUCAAGAUAACAGUGAGAUUCCUCAUAGUUUGUGAAAACUCCGUGAUGGUUUCUUUCUAACUAGAAGAUUUCUCGGGAAGACACUCUUGUUUUGUUUUGUUUUGUUUUGUUUUGUUUUGUUUUGUUUUGAGCUCUCUCUUCUGUCUAUAUUAUCAAAGCUCAAGUUUGUAUACAAAUUAACUAGCAUUGAAUUACCAAGCUCCUCGUUAUUUUCAAAACUACUUCUCAGAGAAGCCUAGACCUUUUUUUGGAGCAUUUACAAAUAGAUUUGAACAGACAUUUUAAUUAAAAAGUCAGGAUAAGGAAAAGCCAGUAUUAUCAGAGUCCAUUUUGCAGGUGGACAAUGAGGCCAGUAUGUUGGAGACGAGAACUACUGAUGGUUCUAAAAUCCGACAAUGAUAAUGCUCCAGUUAGUUAUUAAUGUCAUUCAUAUAUUUGCUUUUGAUGUGCUCCAUAUCUGUGGUGCUGGAAAGUUAGUGUACAAGGUUCAUUGAUGCUGCAUGCUUGGGUUACCUGUUUGUCCAACCAUUAAAAUAAAUAAACCUUCUGAACAUGUGCUGAACUCCUCCUCAGUUUGGUAGGAUUGUGUGUGUGUGUGUGUGUGUGUGUGUGUGUGUGUGUGUGUGUUUUAUGAUAAAUGAACUUUAAAUACUUUUUGGCCAAGAUAAAAUAUGUUUGGCUUCAGUAUCACGUCAAAUAAUUUUUUCUUAAGUUUGUAAGACCUUGGUGGAUGUCUGCCUCUUGGAUUCCAUGCUCCUGUGUGUGUGCGUGUGUUGUUUUUAAGUAAAUGCUGAGAUAUUUAAGUAAAUGUUUUUAAAUGACUUUGACUCACUUUAUUCUAUUUUUAAAUUGUAUGUAUUUAUUGAUUUUAAGUAAUCUCUACACCCAACAUGGGGCUCGAACUUACAACCCCAGGAUCAAGAGUCACAUGCUCCUGCAACUGAGCCAGCCAGGCACCCUUGAUUAUUUUAAACAAUCAUAACUUUAGUCUCAAAAUUGUGUAUAUGGGUGAGAAACUGCUGGUCUCAAUGUUUCUAAUGAUCCUACUUUCUAAUUACUUGGACUGCACCCCAAGAAAAUCCCAAAGUCUUUCCUUAAGUGAGACUGCUCCAGUGAAUUCUACUGUCCUUACUGGUCUUCCUUUAUCAGUAAGGCAACAAACAUUUCAUGUGAUGCCAAAGGGGGACAGACAGACUCUCACCCACGUUCACUGUAGAAAUGGAUUUUGUCUUUCUGCAAGAAUCCUUUUCAUUUGAAUUGGGUGUUCUUUUAGCUUUUUGUGGUGAGGGAAAAGCAUUUCAACAAUUCCCUACUCUUCUGCUGGAAAAUACGUCUCAUCCUGGGCUGUUACCUUCUUUUUGUGUAGAGUGAGGUAAAGAAAUGAUUUAUCCUCUCAACUGCCCGCUCUCAAUUGUCUCGCUGACUUCCCUUCCAGGCUCUCCAUGGGAUUUGAGAAUUUAUAUUUCCUUGCUUUUGUUUGCUGAUUGUAUAAAGGAUUUUUAUCUUCUUGUUUCAAGUGAAGUCUCACCAGCUAGGAUUUCCUUUCUUUAGGUUACACUUUGUCCCCUAAGCAUUUUGUCUAGCUUUUUUCUUGACUUUGUUCACAUUCCAUUUCACUCAUUUUGUUUCUUUUUCGCAUGUAUACUUUAGGAAGGCAUUGCUUUUCAACUCUGUCUAUUCUUUCUCCCUCUCUCUCUUUCUUUAUUUCUUUGGAAUGGCAAACUAUGGCAUGUCUCUCCCUCUCGCUCUCUUUCACUAUUAUUUAAAAUGACCUAAAAGGUGAAGUGCAAUAUCCACCCCAAAAAGCUCUUAUUUUUGUUGUUGUUGUUGUUAAAAGCACCACCAAUCAGAAUUUAUACUCAUUCUGAAUAGCUGUUCUCAAAUUAGAAUCAUCUAUUGUCAUUCACCUGGUGUCAUUUGUCCUUGGCGUAUAAUACAGUUUAGCUCUGUCCAGGUGAAAUAGAAUAUACAUGGCAGGAAAAAAAGAACAAAGGCCAUCAUUCUCUGGGCUCCCACAUACCUAAUCACUAGCAGACAAGGACUCUGCACAACAAAUACUUCAGGCCUAGGACUUAAGUGUUUCACACCAGGGUGUGUGUGAGAAAUAUAUAUUAAUUUCUGUAAGAACAAAGAAAAUUGAUGAAUUUCAUAGAAGACAAAAGAAAUAGCACUGCAAAUUUAAUUCAAUUUGAGUAAAAUAGUUAUGGCAGAAGCUGUAUUUUAUAAAAUAUUUUCCAAAUUGCAGUUCAUGGCUGACAUUUUUUUAAAAGCAAUAUUUAAUAAUAAAAUUCCAAGUCAAUGAAAUAGGAAUAGUACCUUAGAAAUCGCUGUAAACAAAUUUGGUUUGUUUUAGUUAAUUCAAUUGUUUUAAAGUUUUUCUCCUAAAUACUACUAUUUUUAUAUUUAAAAAUAAUUUUUAAUAUUUAUUUAUUUUUGAGGGAGACAGGGCGUGAGCAGGGGAGGGGCAGAGAAAGGGAGACACAGACUCUGAAGCAGGCAUCAGGCUCUGAGCUGUCAGCACAGAGCCUGAUAUGGGGCUCGAAUUAACGAACUGUGAGAUCGUGACCCAAGCCGAAGUCGGACACUUAACCGACUGAGGCACCCAGGUGACCCAAUACUAUUUUUAAAAUUUAAGUGGUAGCAUUAGUUUGACUCAGGUUUAUGAUAAGGCAUGAAGUAAAAGAAGUAAUAGAUUAUAGGGUUUAAGUCGGCACUGAAAAAGUCUGGCUCUAAAAAUUUCACAUGUUAGCAAAAGCAGCAAAAAGGAAUCAAAGUGAAUAAUCAGCAUUUUAAAAUAUUAACUCUACCUCCUUAGAGAAUCAGCAGCAGCAAGAAAAAAAUGCAUUGCCCCAAGACAUGUAAGACAUCAUUUUAUGAAGUGACUCCUGGUGGGCAGUAAGGAGAAAAGGUCAAACAGGGAUAACUAAGGAGAAUUUUAAGCUCAGCAAACGUUUAUCUGACUUCCUCUGGCCCGUUGUUGCAGAAUUUCUAGCUUUCAUGGUUGUAGCAAGGCAUUUCCUAUAUGUAUAUUGUUGAGGUCUUAUAUCAUUAUCAAAAUAUACCUUUAAAAAAUGUGCAAGAGGAGUUUUAGGGUAGUGAAACUAUUCUUCAUGAUACCAUAAUGGUGGAUACAUGUCAUUAUGUAUUUGUCCACAUGCACAGAAUGUACAACACCAAGAGUGAACUGUCAUGUUAACUAUGGUCUUUGGUGAUUAGGAUGGGUCAGUGGAGAUUCAUCAGUUGUAACAAUGUGCCACCCUGGAGGGGGAUGGUGAUAAUGGGUGGAGGUGGGUGGGGGACAGGCAGGUUGUAUAUGAAAAAUCUCUGUACCUUAUGCUCAAUUUUGCUGUGAAGCUAAAACUGAUCUAAAAAAUAAAUCUAUUAAAAAAAAAAUGAAUGUGCACAGCAGAGACCUUCCUGACCUCCACUGCCCUCUCCUUCUAGGCGUUUCAGUUCAGCUUUUCGAAUUCUUUGGAGUAACAGAGAAAGCACACAAGCUGCCUCCAGGUGUGUCCUACAUCUAAUGUGAUCACAUCAACUAUAGGAGGCACUUCUGAGACUGAACGGACCCCCAUUGAUAAUUCUGUAGGGCUAACACACCUAGGACUAUUCCAGCAAAACAGGAUGUAUGAUCACUCUCCUUAAUAUACCACUCUUUACCAGCAUUUUUCGCCUAUGAAACUAAUGUAGCAACACAACAAAAAGUUUGAAAACCUGGGGGAAAAACAUAAUUGCACAGUCCUAAAACAACCACUCAGUAAAUAAUUUUGGAUUUCUUCCAGUGUUUCCCAUAUUUCUUUUUUUACAAUUGCAAUCCUUAUGUGUACGUGGUUUUGUAUCCUGUGUUUUUCUCUUAAUGUUAGGUCGUAAAUACUUUUUCACAUUGCUAGUUUUGAAUAUUAUUUUAACAUUUAGCUUGGUAUUCCAAAGAGAUGUACUUACCAUUUAUUUAGUUAUGUCUUGCCCUGUAGUUUUUCAGCUGCAUAUAAAGUAAGCCCUUGCAGGGUGCCUGGGUGGCUCAGUCAGUUAAGCGUGGUCAUGAUCUCAUAGUUUGUGGGUUCGAGCCCUGCAUCGGGCUCUGUGCUGACAGCUCAGAGCCUGAAGCCUGCUUCAGAUUCUGUGUCUCCCUCUCUUUCUAUCCUUCUCCCACUCACACUCUAUCUCUCUCUCUCAAAAAUAAAUAAACGUUAAAAAAAUUAAUGUAAGCCCUUGCUAUUCAGUAGGGCCUGUGGGCUGAUGGCAUAGGUAUCAACUGAGAGUUGGUUAGAAAUGCAGAGUUGCAAGUUCACCCCAGACCUACUGAAUCUGCCUUGUCAGAAGGUCUCCAACUGAUGUACAUCAGGGUCUGAGAAGCCCUGAGUUAUUCUACUUAUAAACAACGCUGCUGUGAACAUCUUUAUGCACAUAUAUUUUGCUUGUGGAUGGUUUGGUUACAUUCAAUUCCCAGAAGUGAGAUUAUGAGUUCAAAAGACUUACAGAUUUUUAUGCUUGCCAGAACUGCAGGACAGUUCUUUAAAGAACCAGAGGGGUGGGUGUAACUGAGUGCUAUAACCUGAAGACUGGUCCAGUUAGUGCCCUCUGUCAGCUGGUAGAUUGCAAUUGACCUGUUGGAGCCCUCUGCUGUUAAAAGUCCCACUAUUUAAAGAACAAGCCCCUGUUGCCCUCUGGAGGCAGAGCCAGAGAGGAAAACAACUUUCUGUUCCAUCUCGUUGCCCCUCAGACUCCCAGAGCUUCUUGCAGUGCCCAUCAGAUUGUAAGGCUGACAACUCCUAAAUAUUCCAGAUACAGGCCAGAAACCUCUUAAAUUUCAUGUCUAGGGAAUUCAUUCCUGACUCUCUCUGAGUCAUGAAGAAAAAGAAAUGCUUCUUUUGGGGGCUUUUAGGUUCACCUUCCAAGCCACAGUAAUUCUAGCUUUGUUCUGGCAUCCAUAACCUAAAGGAUCACUGUGCUGCUUCCCUGAUGGCUCCCAAAGUCUCUUUUCUUCCCCGGGAGCUGCAGAUAUUUUCUUUUACAGAUAAUAUCAGCCCUUUAGGGGUCUGCAGUUCCAGUUCUUAUGCCAUCCUCUUCGGGUUCCUACAUUCUCUCCAGACUUUUCUCUGCUCACCACCACUGUCAUAUCUGACCUGCUUGUCUACUCCAGCAUGUUUAUUUUUUUAGUUGGCCUUUGGGUUGCUGUUUUUCUUGGGACAAUGUCGCAUUCUGGGGCUUAUGAUAUGCUUUCCUGAUAGCGAUAUUGUCCAGAUCCUCAGUUUGUUUCUUAGUGUUCUUAAGCCUGCCCGUCAAAACUGCCACACAUCAGGCUGCUUAUCCGUGUAGAUGUCUGGGACUGUGUCUGGCGACUUCAUCCCUCUGGUUUCACCUUCACUUAAGGAUGAUCACAAAUGGACAUCUGGAUUUGUCUUAAGAUUACUGGGAUAUCAAUAUCCGUCCUGGCAGACUUAACUAGAUCACUAACAUGCCUUGAUGUUUCUUCUGAAGACAUUUCCUCGAUUAAAUUGCUCUCCCUUUUCCAGAAUGACAAAGCUUAAUGUUGUCUCACAGAAACGGAAGCGUGCUUUCCACCAAUUACUCUUCUUUGUGGUGUUCAACCUGUUUGUGUGUGUGUGUGAGAGAGAGAGUAUGAGAGAGAGAGAGGCUGACUUUUACCCAUAGUUCAUUUUGCUCUGAGAUAGGCCAAGUAGAGUAACUUGUCUUUAGGAUGGCUGCCAUCAAUUCCUUCCUGUAUGUACAAACCAUUUUCCCCAUGAGCAGUAGAAUCUAUGCUUCCAUUUCUUUGAAUUCGAGCCGAUUGGUGAAUGCUGUGACGAAUAGAAUACAGAAGUGAGGCUGAGUCAUGAGAAAGCUUAUAGCUUCUGCCUAGCUCUCUUGGAAUGCUCACUCUGGGGGAAUCCAGCCUCAAUGAUAGAAGAAAUCUGACUACCUCAAGACUACCAUGCUGUGAAGAAGCCCAAGGAAGCCCAAAGUAGCCACAUGGAGAAGCCACAUGGAUAGAGAUUAGAUAAACAGAGGUGCACAGAGCUCCGGUGUCUUGCCCACAUCCAGAUCUGGCUAGUGUUGAUGCCAGGACAAGAAUUCAGGUCUCCUGGCCCAGGCGCAGCUCCUUUCACUGUAUCACCUACCUCUCCAAUACUAAAGAAGCUCUGCGGAAAUCGGAGAAUGCUUCAGACAGAAGGCCAGAUGGAGGCUCAUGCAGGCCCUGUCCAAACCACCACUGGGCUAGGAACAGUGAAAAAUGGCCAUGCUAUUCCUUCCUCACUUGGAUGAUGACAGGUGGGAUGCGAAUUACUUCUAUAAUAAAAGCGUAAGUAAAAACUCUUGUCCAAAUGUCCCUAAGUCUUACUGGCUUGCGCAUAUAAAUCAAGUCACAUCAGUGUAGUUCCUUAGCCCCCUUCUUAAAGUCUGCCCACACCACUUGAGGGAGCCCUGCAUGGGUUAAUAUUUUGAUAUCAUUCCAUCUGAACAUAUAUGUGGUGUAUAUUGUUUUGUCAUCUCUUUUUGCAUUUAGUGUACUGUAAACUUUCUCCUAUGGGUUAGAUAUUUUUCUAUAACAUGAUUUUUUCAUGGUUAUGUAGUAUUUCAUCAUAUAGCUAAUUUGUUUUAACCAGCUUCUUUAUUGUUGUACAUUUACUACCAAUAGUAAGUAAUUCUGUGGUCAAUAUCUUUGCACAUAUUUCUAAUUAUGGUCCUGAAAUAAUUCCUGGCCAUGGAAUUGUUUGGCCAAGUGCUUAUCAAAAAGGAUUAAUGCUAGAAUUACUAAUAAAUAAUGAUACCUCAAGUACUACUAAACAUUGGUCCAAUGGGAGGUAAUUCCUCCGGAGAGAGCUCUUGAAAACAAAAAUGCAACACUUACAGCCUUUCAAUAAUGCAUUUUAAGGGUGCCUGGGUGGCUCAGUGGGUUAAGUGACCAAUUCUUGAUUCCGUCUCAGGUCAUGAUCCCACGAUUCAUGAGACUGAGCUCUGCCUUGGGCUCUGCACUGACAGCGCAGAGCCUGCUUGGGAUUCUCUCUCUCUCCCUUUUUUCCUUGCCCCUCCCCUUUUCAUGCACGCAUGUUCUCUCUCGGUCUCAAAAUAAAUAAACUUGAAAAAAAAUAAUGCAUUUUAAACAACAAAAACCAUUCCAGAUUUAUCAGUACAGAGGAACAAUUUUGAAUUUUGAAACCCCUUUAUAAGCUGACAUUUGUUUCCUAAAACUUAGAUACAAUAUUUUCAUGUAGGAAUGGUAGUAUCUAUUUAAAAGACAAUAAUGGGGGUGCCUGUGUGGCUCAGUUGGUGGAGCGUCCGACUUUGGCUCAGGUCGUGACCUCGAGGUUUGUGAGUUCGAGCCCAGCAUCGGGCUCUGUGCUGACAGCUCGGAGCCUGGAGCCUACUUCAGAUUCUGUGUGUGUCUCUCUCUGCCUCUCCCAUGCUUGUGCUCUGUCUCUCUCACUCUAAAAAUAAAUAAACAUUAAACAUUUUUUUAAAUAAAUAAAAGACAAUAAUGUAUAAGUUGUUUAUUAGUGAAUGUAUCAUCACCAAGUCAUGCAGGGAUAUUUUAUACUGUAGGUGAAAGCUUGGCCUCCCGGAGUUUGUUAAUUUUCUACCAUGGAGAUUUUAAAGGUCCAGUGGUCCGUAAGGGAUUAAGUGGGCGGUAUGACUUGUAUCCUUAACUAGAUUUUAAGAGAAAGGAGUUGUCACCAAUACAUUUUGACCAAAUGUCUUAUUAAAGGCGCCACCAAGAGCAGAGCUUGGAAGCAAGUGUAGCCCCGACGCCCCUGGCAGCCCGAGCGUUCUGUACUGUAAUAACUCAUCAGCAACAGGAUGAAGUAGUUUAUGUUCCAGACUUUGCCUCCUGGUAUCUAGAUUUUUAUAGGUGUUUUGACUGAGGUGUAGAGGAGGCAUUUUUUGGCCACUGAUUUCUAUUCCAGAUUGCGGGAUGUGAAUAAUUUGGUAAAUUAACAUCAAUGGGUUAAACUGUUCUUUGUUACCAAAGGCCCCUGGGCUGCCUGUUCCACUGGAUGGUCACAUUAAUUUGUAACCACAUGAGGAUGGCUGCUGGGCACACACGCCCAAGUUAAAUUUCCUUUUGCAGGUUUUCCCCCUAUUUUGGAUAUUCAGGUAGCCACUGAAGUCUGAGGCAGCUCUCUCUUGUGCAUUCAUAAUUCUGACUAAACCUAGGGCUUCCAAAACUAAUAUCAGAGAGGAAAGAUCCAAACCUUAGUGCCUUUGUGGCUUUUUUUUUUCCUGGGGCCAGCUUUCGGCCAUGUUUCCAAUGAUCAAUCUGUACCCCUAGUUAUACACUAAAUGCAUAAACUGUGUGUGCUGCAAAUGAUGUUUUUCUAGCCUGUCCGUAUAGCCUAUUAAACCAGAGUUGGCAGUUUUCCAUCCCUUAGGAGAAGCAUUUGGCAUAAAUAAUAUUGUCAUUUGGGAAGGCUAGACAUGGUUUGAAGAAGUGACCUUGUAUAAAUAUUGUCUGAGGUAUGACUGAGGCUAAAUUAUAAUACAGGGAGCUAGUAUAGUCUGGGCUCUGGGCCCUCCUGGUAAUGAAGUUGCUUCUUGUAGCAAUGGAACUCUUUGAAUUGAAAAUGUAAUCAAAUAUAUCAGAUGCUGUUAAAAACACAGGAACCAGCCUAUUUAUGAACGCCCAGGGUCCAAAGGAUGGCAAUAUGUUACUGGAAUUUCUUUGUCAUUCAAAUGGAUUUGUCUUUUUAAGAGACAAAAUGUCCUAGAAAGUGCCUUUUGUCUUCACCGCAGAACUUCCCCCCAGUGUUGAGACUGCUGAACAUGCCAGGCCUUUGUUGAUCCUCUGCCCACAUGUGGGAUGAGCAGUGGGCACAGACCACAGUGUCCCUGGCUGUUUGUGGGUGACUUUGUCAGUAGAACAAAUACAACCCCUAAUAGCCACUUUCCAUUCCCUUUCCAUUAUCCUUGUUUAGAAUUUUAUUUCCUGGGUGGCUCAGUUGGUUUAGCAUCCAAUUUCGGCUCAGGUCAUGAUCUCACUGUUCAUGGGAUCGAGCCCUGCAUUGGACUCUGCACUGACAGCUUAGAGCCUGCUGGAGAUUCUCUCUCCCUCUCUCUCUGCCCCUCCCCUGCUCUGUGUCUUUCUUAAAAAUAAAUAAACAUUAAAAAAAAAUUUAUUUCCCCUUUCCUGGCCUAUGUUACUCAAAUGGCCUACUAAUUAUACAGAACUCCUGCCCUUCACUUUCUCCUCCUUUUAUCAACUGAUUUGUCAGAUCUGUCUUUCAAAAGCAUGAUUUUAUUUUUAUCAAUCCAUUGAUUUAUUCAUUUAUUCAUUCCACAAAUAUUGAUUGAAUGUGGACCAUUUGUCAACCACUUAGCUCUCUGCUAUAAGAUUUACAGUCUAAUGGGGCAGACAGAUAUUUGACAAAUAAUCCCAGUAUUGAACAGACAAUUAUAAGAUAAUGUGAGCAUUCUGCAGGGAUGAAGCAAGAUUCUUUGGUAGUAUAAAACGAAGACACUUUCUCUGGAUGGAGGAGCAGGGGAGGCUCCUCUGAGGAAAUGAUAAUUAAAUUGCAGUGUGAGCAUGUAUAGGUAUAGAUUUUAGUGGGGCAAAAGAGUAAGGUGGAGAGUAGGACAGGAGGGGCUGGGUGGAGUGUUUCCUUAAAAGAGGAGCAGGCCAUGGCAAGGGUAAGCAUAGUGCCAUCUGAGGAAUGGAGAGAAGGCGGCUAUGGCUGGAAUGUGAAGGAUGAGGGCCACGCCAGGAGGGCUAUGUAAGUCAUGUUAAGGAUUAUGGUCUAUGUCUACUAGUUGUGGGAAGUCAUUGAAAAGCAUGUAAACAGUCUGUGACUGGAUCAGAUUUGCAUUGAGAAAAGGCCAGUUGGGCCGCAGUGGGGGGAAUUGAUUGGCAGUGGCAAAGAAAUGAGGAAGGAGAGAUAAUAGUGAACCCAGGUAUUAGCAGUGGAGAUGAGAAUUAGACAGGUCUGAAUGUUGUUUAUGUGGUGAAAAAAAGACACGGCGUUUUAUAAUAGAUUGGACAUGAGGGAGAAGACAUCAUUGAGGAUGAUUGUGAGGCUCCAGUAUGUGCAGCUGGAUUGGUUGAGAUGCCAUUUACUGAGUGGGGGGUUCCUGAAAAAGAGGACUGGAAUCAUGAGCAAAGACCUGGAAUUUUUGUAGAGAAAUGAUACUCAAACUCAUGAGAAAGGAUGAGUUCACUAGAGGAGAAAGGAUAAUUAGAGAAGAAAUGAAAAUGUUUUGAAACUAAGAAUAAAGAAGAAAAUUCUAGUCAGAAUUAGGAGCAAACUUGUUGAGUUUCAAGGAAUUGCAAGGAGGAGGGCAGUAGGAAAUGAAAACACACAGAUGUGAUUGGAGAAGUUGGCAGACUGGACCAUGUAGAGCCACGUAGUCCACUGGGAAAGGAUUUUAGCUUUUAACUGAGUGAGAUGGGAAGUUAUUGGAGGGUUGCUUUUUGUGUUUUGUUUUGUUUUGCUUUGCUUUGUUUUAGAGAGAAUGUGUGCAAGCUGGGGAGGGGCAGAGAGAGAGAGAGAGAGAGAGAAAGAGAGAGAGAAUCUCAGGCAGGCUCCACACCAAGCACAGAGCCUGACCUGGGGCUCCAUCUCAUGACCAUGAGAUCAUGACCUGAGCCUAAAUCAAGAGUCGGACACUUAACUGAAUGAGCUACCCAGGUGCCCCUAUUGGAGGGUUUUCAUCAGAGGAAUUACAUGGUCUGACUUAGAGUUUUGAAAGAUUACUGUGGCUGCUCUGUGGAGAAAAGACUUUAGGGAAAUAAGGCCAACAUCAAGGACAUCAGUUGGGUAACAAUUGCAAUAAUCCAAGUGGAAGAUGGCAGUGGUGGUGACUUACUCACAUGAGGGUGGUAGCUGAGAAGGUGGUAAGAAGUGGUUACAGCCUGGAUAGAUUUUUAAUAUAGAACCAGUGGCAUUUUCUGAUGCACUGAUGUAGUGAGAAAGAAAGAGAAGAGUGAAUGAUGACACCAAUAUUUUUGGCUUGAGCUACUGGAAAGAUGGAUUGUCUUUCACAAAGAUGUAGAAGAUGGUUGGAAACUUGGGAGUUUGGCUUUGAAUAUUAUGUUUGAGAUCCUUAUUAGGUAUCCAAGUGGAAAGAUUAAGUAGGCUGAUGGACAUAUGGCCGGAAGUUCAAAGGAGAGAUACAGCAUAAAAAUAUAAAUUUGGUUAUAUUUGAGGUGUAGAUAAAUGACACUGAAACUCAUGAGAAAGGAUGAGUUCACUACAGGAGAAAGGAUAAUUAGAGAAGAAAUGAAAAUGUUUAGAAACAAAGCAUAGAGAAGAAAAUUCUAGUCAGUGAUCAAGGUUUAUAUCACCAGGAAUAAGACAUACCAACAUCAUGUACCCCUUGAUAUGAUGCACUGAGAAGAGUAUAACAUCACUUUUGUGGUAUUUUUGCCCAAAAAUGGAUAAUCUCACUAUAACCAUGAGAAAAUAGCAGAUAUCCAAACUGAGAGACAUUCUACAAAAUUAAUGACCAGCACUCUUCAAAAGGUCAAGGUCAUGAAAGACAAUGAAUAAGAAACUCACAGAUUGAAGAAACUAAAAAGGCAUAACAAGUAAAUACAGUGUGAGACUCCAGAUUGGAUCCUGGAACGGGAAAAGUAUAUUAGUGGGAAAACUGUUGAAAUUCAAAUAAAGACUGUAGUUCAGUUAACAGUAUUGUACCAAUGGUAUUUUCCUGGUUUGGAUCAUUGCACUAUGGUCAUAUAAAAUGUAAAUAUUAAGGGAACCUCAUUUAGAGAAAUGGGUGAACUUCCUGUUUUAUUUUUUGCAACUUGUCUAUAGUCUAAAAUUAUUCCAAAAGAGAAAGUUUUAAAAAGUUAGAUUAUGGCUUUUAGGCAUGUACCCCCCAAGGAUAUGGCUGCCUUCAUUUCCAGUCUUUCUAGCUUGGCAUAGAGAUGCUGAAGAUGUUGGCAGGACCUCCCAAAGGGGUCUUUAGACUGUGUGAAAGACUUUGUACUUUUCUCUAAGAGCCAGUGAAGGAUUAGGCAGGGAAUGUGGAGGAAGAUGGGAAACUAGACAUGUUUGUUUUAGGCAAAAAGAGACAAGAAAACAGAAUAAAUACUGGGUUAGGCCCAGAUUCAGGCAAACACCCAGUUACUCUCAAUUAUUCAUCCUGUUCUCCAAACAGAAUUGACCAUGAGUUAGUUCAUGACUCACAAGGGUGUUAGCACAUUGUAACGUCUGGCUGGGAAGAUUGCUCAAAUCCCAGAGGAUUAUCCUUGUGGAGCCUUGCAAGUGUCCUGUUUUCUCCCGACACUCCUACAGUGCAGGCAGAACUGUAGAGGGGAUUUUAAGCUUGUAAGCCUUAAAGGUAAGUUGUGGGUGCAUUGUAUCUGACCUUCCUUGUCUGGAAUGUUUCCAGAACAAAGCUGGAUUGAGAUACCAACCUACAGUGAACGAUCAAAAUGAUCGUUAGAAAUGGGGCGAGAGACUCUUCCUGCACCCCUUUCUCUGCCAACUCUGCUGGGGCAGAGGGUCACGGUGAGAUGGGGCGGGGCAGGGAGUAUUAGAGAGUCCAUCACAUCAAAGUUCCCAAGGGUGUUUGUGGACCAGUUGGAGACGGUGACUGAGAAGUGCUAAUUAGAAAAUGACAUAUUAAGUAUUAGCCUUGGGGAAAUUAUAGAAGUGGUUCAUACAGAGGACAGAAAGGUUCCCUGAAGCUGAGGAGUCUAUGCCUCUGCCCAAAGAAAGGGUGAACCAUUGAGAAACGUGCUCUUUCAUCUGCCUGCUGUCCUAUGGGGGAUAGGCUAGAAAUCAGGAGAGUCCCUGGAGUCUAGGGUAGGAUCACCUCCGCACCCUCACUAUUACCAAUGUACCUCAUUGCCUGGCCUGGCAGGAAACUGAAUGUCAGUACCAAUGGCUAGAUCUCCUCUUAGAAACUCUGAAAUCAUGAAAUCCAAUACCCUAAAGUUUAGAUCCUACAAAAUCCUAUUAUUAAUGGUAGCUGUCAAUUUCUGAAUACUUACUACCUGCUAGGCUCUUUAUAUAAUUGCUUCUAAUCCUUCUAGCAACCCUUCAAAGUAAGUCAUUAUCAUCCCCGUAUGACAGGAUUUUACCGGUGAGGAAAUAGAGACUUAGCUUGUCUGAGGUUAUACAACUAGUGAGAAACUAAGUCGGGAUUUGAACCCAGGCCUGGCUUCCUGCAGAAUCCCAGAGCUCUUCACUAAAAUUAAUGCCUUCCUAAUAUUGAGUGAACCCAUGGAGGCAGGAGUAAGUAAUCCCCUGGGAGAAUAUUAGCGACUCUGCAGUGACUGGCACUGACCCAAUUUUAUAGACAUAUACCAAUGUGCAGGAUUUCAGGAAGUUUCACUAGGGAUGUGGAAUCAGCAGCCCAUGACUCAUCAGGCCAAAUUCGGGGGAGGCUGCCUGAUGGUGAGGCUGCAGGCAGUUUACAGUAACUGAGGUCUGUGAAGAGUGAGGGGGAAGGGCCUGAAGAGUCAUGACCAGCACACCUGGGCUCCUGAUGUUGGAAACUCAUGAGGAUGUUCUGUCAGUGUUGGCCUUAAGCUUCAUUUCUGGCUUAAAUUUGGGUGGCUUACCAAGCCUCAAAGGUGGAAAGAACAAAUCAUGUUGAGAGUUUGACAGUAAGCGAGGUCCAGGGUUUGAGCUGGCUCUUUGCCACAGGGUUGACAUGUGAAGAGGGGCAGAGUAGCUUCUUCCUCACCAUCAAAGUCUGUCAUCUGCCCUAGGCAUCCCACACACAGAAGGGUAGCCAGGCCUCAACCCCACUUUCUGGAAAGAACCCCUUUGAUGCAGAAUUAUGGAGGAGUCUAGGCCCACAAAAGGCAUUAUAUAUAACAAACUACCAUAUUGACAAAACAGAUAUGCUAUUAACUAUUUUCAUUAAGUUCAAGCAAUAGGGCAAGAGCAUUUUGGGUGUUGGGGACAUUUUAAGAAGUCAGUGUUUUCCAGGAAAGGUAAAGGAGGGAAAAAAAAGUCACCUUCUCAUUGUGGGUAUUGAGGAGACAGUAAAACAUGAACUCUGCAGCACCAUUUAAAAGAUCCAACCCCUGCCUUUCCCUGUUCUAUCUUCCACUGUUGCUUUCCUUAGCCUUUGCUCCAGUUAUAUCCUUCUCUUGCCGGUCUGCUUUUACAUGUUUCUCUCUCUCCCUGGCAUAGCCCUGCCUGAUUCCUCUCCCUGCUCCCUAUCACCUCAGUCACUCCUACUUGUCCUUCAUAACUCAGCUCAGUGUUUCCUGUCCCCACCCCCACCCCCCGCUGCUGCCAGGGAUAUCUUCCCUGCUUACCUAAGCGAUUUCCAGCUGUGAACUAGACUUCUCUACACGGAUGUCCCACUGGCUCCUCCAAGUGAGUUGAUCUGCACUUCCACGUGGGUUCCUUUUCAUCUCAGUGCCUCCAUUGACCAUCUCUGAUCCUUCUCUCCCCAUCUCCUUUAUUCAGUCACCCAGUAAGUCCUGUCCAUUCAGAUAACAAUAAGAUUGAGCCCUUAAUAUAUGUUAGAUAUUGUCAAAAGUACUAUACGUGUGCAAACUCACUUAAGCCUCAGACAACAACACUAUAAAGUGGAUCCUGUCAUCCUAUUGCUUUAUGGAUGAGAAAAUUAAGGCAAAAGACCAUAUAAGUAGUUUGCCUAAAAUCACACAGCUAAAAAGUGAUAGAACCAGGAUUAGGACUCCAAAGCCUUAUCUCCUAAAUAUGUCUCAGUCUCCACAGGCCACCAUAAUCUCAUUUCCCCCUGCAAUCUAUCCUUAUAAUGCAGUUAGAGUCAUUUUUCUGAGUGAACUCUCCUUGACUCACCUUCCAGCUUCUUAUUUCCCUCUAGACAGACCCCACAUGUCUUAAGGCAACUGAAAAGGCACUUCUCCCAUAUACCCCUGCCCACCUUCCAGCCUUAUCUCAUGCCACACCUCAGCUCAACUCCUGGGUCCAGGACUUCCUGUCUAUGGAGCACUAUGGUCUCCUCCUCUCUCUGCCUAGUCAUACUCUCUUCGCCCUCAGAUCUCAACUCGGAUGUCACUUCUUUCAGCAAGCUCUCCCUGGCCUCUGACUCCCUUGGUCCUCCACGGCAUCCAGUGCUUACCUCUGUGCAACAGCCAUCCUUCCCUUGAAGAGUCUGCUCCCUUCCUCUGUCUUCUGCAUUAGCUGUAGGCUCUCUGAAUGCAGAUGUUGGGUCUUGUUUUCAGUGAAUCCCCCAGGAAUAGUAAAGUAUUCAACAGAUGUUUGUUAAAUAUAGGAAUAAAGUGUAUCAAAUUUCUGACCUGACUGAUUGUACAAAGGUCCCUAUCCCUACAUCUUCCCAAUGAUAUUACAUGCAAAAUUGCCAGAUUUGUGAGUGAAGAUGGUAUUAAAGAGCAGAUGACAUGGAAGAGGGGACCACAAAGGGAAACAGCCACUCUUCCCUUGACACAACAUCAACUUCCAUUUCCCAAGGGGAUACAGAAGCCUUCUUGGGACUUUUUGCUUGAGAGUCUGGCUUUAAAUCAUUUGCCCUGCAUGUAUCCACUAAUCAGAGGGCUGUGGAAAGUUCGGGCUACCUGCAGUUCCUUCCAGGUGUCAUCACGACUCAUUUGCUGGCUUUUGGACUUGGAUGUAGCUGUACAAAGCCUCAUUUUACUCAUUUGGAAAAGACCACCUGGGCUUCAAUUUGGGGAAGUAUAACAAAUUAGAUGCCCUGACUAACCCUUUCAACUGAAACAACUAAAAUGAAAUAACACAAAAAGAAAGUUUUUUGUUUUUGUUUCUUAAACCACAUUGUUCAAGUGUCCUAAAAGUAAAGAAUCUGAGAAUCUCAGGGUGCCUGGGUGGCUCAGUAGGUUGUUUCCAACUCUUGAUCUCAGCUCAGGUCAUGAUGCCAUGAUUUAGGAGAUCGAGCCCCGUGUCAGGCUCUUUGCUGACAACGCAGGAGCCCUGCUUGGGAUUCUCGCUCUCUCCCUCUUUCUGUGCCCCUCUCCUGUUCAUGUGCACUCUUCUGUCUCAAAAUAGCAAAAUAAACUUUAAAAAAAAAGAAUGUGUGAAUCCCAAAAAUGAGGUUAAG